rnacentral:lncRNA from 1 species
CUUCUUAUUGAUUGUUCUUGCUUUUUCACACGGCUCCUUAAGGUGGUGAAUUUGUAACCGAAAGGCCCAGGUGAGAUGUGCAAAUAUCACUGGAUUGGAGGAGCUCACUUGGAAAGCCAGUAUUCCUCCUGAGCUAAUGAAAAGAAAGGCUGUCGUCUUAUGCCAAAAGCAAUACCAACCUUGUUCACGGGCUGAGAUCUAGAGUGUGUAAUUCACGAAGUAUGAAUCUGCUGGGUAAUGUGAUAUGAAAAGCGAAUGCACCAUUUCUUGGUGAUGAUUCAGGUCAGCGUUGGGACCCAGGAAUCUCCUGUUAAUCAGUACCCUGGUGAUUUUGAUCCAGGUCAUCAAGACCAUGGCUUCCAUCGUAGGCAGUCACACUCUUUCUCUCUUGGAUCAUUUGCUGUGGGGAAGCAAACUGUCAUAUGAGAGGACACUCAAACAGCCUCUGGAGUCUCAUUUGCUAAGGAACUGAGGACUCCAGCCUGAGAACUCAGGCAAGUAACUGAGGCCUGCCAACAACCAUGGAGAAAGCCUGGAAGUGGAUCCUCCCUCAGCCUUCAGUCGAGACAACAGCUGCAAUGACAGCCAAGCCAGCGCCACCCAGCUUAGCCACCCCCAGAGAACUAACUCUCAGAAACCAUGUA